rnacentral:lncRNA from 1 species
AAGCAUAAUUUAAAAGAGAGUCUACUAAUAGAUUAUCACAGAUUCUUGUGAGAAGACUCCAAGAGUUCUUGUUUAUUUUUGUCCUUUAAUAUAGGUUCUGGGCCUCAGCAUCUUCAAUUCUAUGACAUGAUUCUGAGUUAAGGUUUUAAACUUGGGAAAGAUAACUUCCCUGUUGGCUUCUCCCUCUUUUGCAGCUUCCUUAGACAGUUCCAGUGGGGCCUCGCGAGUCACCACUGGGUUAAUGAUGUGUUUGGAAGCUCACUGACAGUGCAAGCAGCUUUGUCUUCUCACGUAUCCCCUGUGUUGAUUCACAUGUAAGUUGAAAAUAUUUGCAAACUUGAGCUGUUUGACAUUAAAGCCCAGGAAACUCAUUUGAUUCUGUCUAAAGAUAGUCCUGUGGGAUUAGAAGUGAUGGAAUAAAAGAAAAAAAAAAAACCUUCAUAAAAUGUAGAUUUUUAAAAUAGCUUUAAAAAAAUAGCAGCAGACUUGAUAUUGCCAUUCCAUUCAAAACAAAUUUCCACUGAAGCUACCUCUGGAACUUGGAUAUAAUGUGUUUGGCUUGGAAUUUAUCCAAUUAUGGUAUAAUGCUUUUGUUAUGUAAGUGCAUAAAUGAAAUUGGAGACAGUGAAAACUUUACUUGUCCUUCUAGUUUUGGUCAGAAGAAAAUCUGAAAAAUUAAGAAUAGAGGAAUAACCUUAAUGUAUAUGAGCACUCUUAUUUAGUAUAUGUCUUUCUGUUAUUAAAUACAUAUUCGUCAUACUGAUCAGAAAUAUUACUUUACAUCUAACCUUAUUUCAAUUGCUUUUUAGGCAUGAUUUGCUAUCUUGACUCUAUUUUUGCAAGCAUAAUUGUGAUGGAAAGCUUAGAGUCAUUUAUUAACAACUCGAAGCUGGGUGGGACCAUGAAGUUAAGGUAUCCACCUUGGUAAGGAAGAAAGGCUGGAACAGCCUCUGACAAAACAUUGCCCUCUAGUGGACAUACAAACACCUGGCGUCAAAGCAAUUCUCUCCAUGGAGUUGGGUCAGGAGUUGGGAAUCUGGGCACACAAAGGUGUCUUACUAUUACUGGACAUUAAGAAAAAGAAGAGCAACAUCUAGGGUAAUCCCAAAGACUAGGGGUGCAUGCUUCACUUACACAGUAAGCAUUGUUGAAGGCCCACCAUGAGCCAGCACUGGUGCUAUAUGAGUGAGAUAUAAAGACGAAUAAAGAGAAUCCCUGCCCUCGAGCAGCUCAUGGAGUAACAUAAUCAUAUUUGGGAUUCCCACUGUAGUGCAACAGGAUUGGAGGCAUCUUGGGAGCACUAGGACACAGGUUUGAUCCCCAUCCCAGCGCAGUAUUGUAAGGAUCUGGCAUUGCUGCAGCUGCAGCUUAGGUCUCAAUUUUGGCUCAGAUCUGAUCUCUGGCCUGGGAACUCCAUAUGCCUUGGGGCCUCCAAAAAUGAAAAAAAAAAUCAUAUUUGGGAAUAGCAAGUAUAGAAAGGAGAGAAAAUAGAUAGGAAGUGAGGCUAGGUCUCCAGUGGGGAAAAAUGUGGACAUUUUUACAUAGGCUCUUUAAAAAAAAAAUGUUAAACCCAACCAGGCUACCAAUCAUUGAAGUAGUUCUUGAGUAUCUAUGAUAGGUCCAUCCCCCAAAUCAUCUUCUUAAGCUAGCAAAAGACAAAACUAGAUAAACUCUGCUCUCUAUAUCCCAGGACCUUUUUGCACUAUUAUCAUGCAGAAAGAGCUGGAGAUUUUUGUACCAGAAAGAUCAGGGAUUGUGCAGUUGUUUGAGUCAUCAGGAAUGGGGAUUUGGAGGGACACAUUUCAGAGCCCACUAUGCUCCCUAAAAGACACCCUCCCAUGAAGUCAUCCCAUGGACUUCCUGGUAGGAGUACGUAAGAGUCCCAGGGUGGGCAGGCAUGAGAGGGUCAACCUCAAACUUGAGAUGUGCAUGAUCACUAACUGGGCAUUCAAAUAAAUAAAUAAAGCAUGGGUGACUAUGUCGCCUUCAGCAUUAAUCACAUCCUAUUUUUACCUUAAACCCAAAAAAGUCCAUUAUAUUAAUAUGUACCUUGAUGCUAUGUUGUACGCAUGUAUGUUGUUAUGUAUCACUGAGUCAUAAAAGCUGGCGAUAUUACAAGGCAAAUGGAAGCAAAGCAGUUGCUCUGGUAAAUAACUGAAAGAGACACAGAUAGAAGUGAGUAAGAAAGAAAACAAAUGGCAAAUGUAAUUGGUAAAAGUCUGCCUAUGAUCCUCCCUGAUAAAAACUUUCUUUGGUGUUCCCAUUGUGGCUCAGUGGAAACAAAUCUAACUAGCAUCCAUGAGGACACAGGUUCGAUUCCUGGCCUCACUCAGUGGGUUAAGGAUCCGGCAUUGCCAUGAGCUGUGGUGUGGGUCACAAAUGCGGCUCAGAUCUGGUGUUUCUGUGGCUGUGGUGUAGACCACCAGCUAUAGCUCUGAUUCGACCUCUAGCCUGGGAAGCCUGGGAACCAUAUACUGCAUGUGCGGCCCUAAAAAGACACACACACACACACACACACACACACACACACACACACACACCAAAAAAACAAAAAAGUUUCUUUAAUCCCUGGUUUAAUCAUUCCAACUUCUAUGUGACACAAAUGAACCCUAUACAUAUUUCCAUCACAAUACCUGUUACACUCCGAUGCACUUUGUUUAUAUACUUGUCACAUUUUACUAGAUACAUUUUUCAGACCUCCUGGAAGCCAAAGACCAUGUCAUUUACUAUUGUAUCCCCAGUUCUCUAUUGUGCCUAGAAUAAUGCCUAUCACAAAAUAGUCACUCAAUUAAUAUUUACUGGUUGGGUUACUACUCAAAAUAUGUACUAUUUUGAAAGGAAUAUAUUAUAUCAUUAUCCAGAUUUCACUAGAUAAGUAUAAGAAGAUAGUUUACAAAAAUUUAAAUAUGAAAUUAUCAAAUAGAAAAAUUGUAACUUUGCCAACAAAAAAUCUUUUGAAAGUGCCAUUAAAAGCUUAUUAAAAAUGCAAAAUAAAUGAAAAAUAAGAAAACCUAAUGUUGGCAGGACUGUGGAGAAUGUGACAUAUACAAGAGUGUACAUUAUUGUGAAAAUGUGGUUUAACUUUAGAGAAAAGCAAUCUAGACAAGCAUUGUUCAUGUCCUUGAUCUAGGCAUUUUAUUUGGGAAUAUAAAUCUCACAAUGAAGACUCCAAAAAGACACAGAAAAACAGAGAAGGUGUUCUUAAUAUCUCUUGGAAUAACAAAAAAAUGAAGAAAGAAAGGUGGAGAAAGAAAAGGAAAUUUUAAAUGGAGAGAGAGAGUGGAAGAAAGGAAGAAGGCAAGGAAAGAAGGGAGAGGGAGAUAUGGAAAUAAGUCACCAAGAAAAAAAGAAAUAGAAAAGGAAACUAACAUUACAACAUAGGAGAAAACACUACAUAAUCAAUUAAAAAAUAAACAUGCAUACUAGACAGAUAUAUGAGGAUAUAUAUAGAUACAUAUAUAUCUAUAUAUGUAUCCAUAUAUAUCCAAUAUAUAUCCGUAUUUAUAAGUUAAUAUUUAAUAUUUAUUGCAGUAUUUAAGACUUAGAACAAGCCUGCUUGGCAGAUUACUUUGUACAAUAUCUCACAGCUUAAAUUUGCAAAAAUAAGCUUAUUUCAAAAAUUCAAAAGAAAAAAGUCCUCUAAAUACCAUUGUCAAAAUACACUUUAUAUGUCAAAAGACAAUUUUUAGUGAUAAAAGCAUUUAGAAUUCAAAACUCAUUUUUUAAUUCCAUCCACCAGAAAUCAUAAACAUUAAUAAGAGCUUCUGAUUUGGCUGGCAUUUUACCAGAGUUAGGGUGAAAAUGGAGCAUGGGACAACUAUCUAAAAAGGACUUUAACAAGGAAAAAUAUUUCUACUCUCUUAAAUGAAUAUAUGGGCAUGGGGGCAGGUCGGGGGGAAGGUGUUGACAAGAUCUUAGCCUUCUUUUCUGAAAGUCUUCCGGUCUAUACCAACAGAGAGAAGCCCCAAACUGUCUCCAUUAACCUCUGAUCAUAGCAUGAGGUGAAGGGAAUCAUACAAACUGAGAAUAUUUAAAUAUUCUCUCUGCAUAAAAGCUGUUUAGCUGCUGGAAUCAUUUCCUCUCACUGUCCCUGAGCUAAAGAAGUGGAUCGAUCAGCAGGGGAGGUGAACAGAUGCAGCUGGAGAGGAAGAGAGGCUCGGGGGAAUCACAUUUGAGCAACCGUAGGGGAUGAGAUGCCACAGAGGAGAGUUUACAGAAGCAGCUGGAAGAAUGGAGCAACAGAGGGAAGGGGCUCAGUGAGGCAAAAGCAAGGGACAUGAUGCGCUCAGAGAAGCUCACAGCUUGCAAUACUCCCUAAAUAUCUGCACAGAGUGAGGAAGACACUUACUCCCAAGGGGAACGUAGGUAAUUUCCCCUCUCCAUUACAGCCUGCAGAAAAAUUUAACACACAUUUCAAUCUUCCAUUUGCCCCUUUUGGGCCUUCAUGGCCUCUGGGAUCAAGGCCCACCAAAGAUACCUAUCCCUGCUGGCAAUUCUUCUAUUGUAUCCUCAUUUCCCAAAGGGUAAAGCCAUUCAUCUAUAUUAGGCCUUGACCAUGAAAAAUGCUGGAGAUGCUCAGUGCUAUUAUUCUCUUAACGGCAGCAGGGAUUCACGCUCCCCACCGUCCACAGGUGAAUGCUACCUCCUGCUUCCUGCCAUUCAGGAAAAUCCAAAUGACCAAGAAUCAAGAUUACUGAAAGUCGAGAAUUCUUGGGCAAUAGAGAGAUUAGAACACAUUUUGUAAAAGAGAGUGAAUAACAUAUUAACACUCUUCAGAAGACCUUUCAAAAAAAAUAGUCCUUUGCAUUAAUAUAUGGCCUUAUUUACUGUCAAUUAAUACAUACUUUAUAUUUAUUAUCUUUAAUUCUUAAAGCUGGAAUUUUAGGAAGUGUUUUUAUAUACUAUUUCCAAAUUCCCUUGUCAGAGGUAUAGUACAUCCUUUAGAACAAUUGCUAUCUGUACACAUAUAUAAAAAUUCCUGCACUUUGUCUUGUGAGUCUUUAGCUCUUCUAAUUUCUGACAGUCCCUUCAGCACCUAGGACAGUGCUGCGUUUCACCUCAACCCAGGUAUUUGAAAGAAUAAAUGGUACCAUAUUGAGGGGCAGAGCUCCACUGCAGAACUCUAUGUAUUUCAGAACUCUAAAAGGCUAGUCUUCAAGAUAAAGGUAAAAGGCAAAAUCACUCCUUUAAAAAAUUUUAAGUAGCAACUAUUUUGCCUGUCUCUUAUUUUAAUUAUAGGAUUUUGGAGGGUAGCCUAAUCUCAAGUAAUCACAAAAAGCACAAUAACCAAACAUAAA